rnacentral:rRNA from 1 species
AUUGAACGCUGGCGGCAGGCCUAACACAUGCAAGUCGAACGAGUGGCGGACGGGUGAGUAAUGUCUGGGAAACUGCCCGAUGGAGGGGGAUAACCACUGGAAACGGUAGCUAAUACCGCAUACCCUCGGAUGUGCCCAGAUGGGAUUAGCUAGUGGGUGGGGUAACGGCUCACCUAGGCGACGAUCCCUCGCUGGUCUGAGAGGAUGUCCAGCCACACUGGAACUGAGACCGGGCCCAGACUCCUACGGGAGGCAGCAGUGGGUAAUAUUGCACAAGGGGCGCAAUCCGGAUGCAGCCAUGCCGCGUGUAUGAAGAAGGCCUUCGGGUUGUAAAGUACUUUCAGCGAGGAGGCGUUACUCGCAGAAGAAGCACCGGCUAACUCCGUGCCAGCAGCCGCGGUAAUUC